UACAGAGGUCUCAAGCGUUGUUCGGAUUCAUUGGGCGUAAAGAGUGCGUAGGUGGCGCUGUAAGUCGGGUGUGAAAUUUCGGAGCUUAACUCCGAAACUGCAUUCGAUACUGCGGUGCUUGAGGACUGGAGAGGAGACUGGAAUUCAUGGUGUAGCAGUGAAAUGCGUAGAGAUCAUGAGGAAGACCAGUGGCGAAGGCGGGUCUCUGGACAGUUCCUGACACUGAGGCACGAAGGCCAGGGGAGCAAACGGG
rnacentral:rRNA from 1 species